GGCCACUUGGGCCACACAGCCAAGGUUAGGGUUAGGGACACUUGAGCCACACAGCCAAGGUUAGGGUUAGGGUUAGAGCCACUUGGGCCACACAGCCAAGGUUAGGGUUAGGGUUAGAGCCACUUGGGCCACACAGCCAAGGUUAGGGUUAGGGCCACUUGGGCCACACAACCAGGGUUAGGGUCAGCAGGGGGUGGAGGUUUCUCAGCUGGACCCAAAUCUCUCUCCUCCCCGGCCUGCCCUCCAGCUGGGGCUCCUGGACCGCCUCCUCCAGAGGUUCCCUGUAAGCUCUUCUCAAGGUCUUGGGGACAGGACAUUUGGGGACCUGGGGCUGGCAAGGCCCGUGCCAGUGGGAAGCCGUGACUCUCCGGGACCUUUGCCAGGUCCCCGCUCACUGCUGGCAUCUCCAAAGGCACAUAUGCAGAGAUGGGCCUCCUACCGGCCACCCCACCCCAGCUGGUCACCACCGCUAGCAGGUGUCAGACACACAGGGACAGACUGUAGCACAGUUCAGGCCUCAGGUCCAAGGGCAGCGCAGGUCCCUGCAGCGGCCUUCCUCCACCCUCUUCAGCCUCACCAGUGCCUGAGGGAACCAGCCGUGGGUCUCUGGCCUUCCUUGACCACUCGAGUUAAUUCUCUCAGCUGUUUGGGUAGGUUUUUCCUUAGUUACUUGUGGUUUUCUUGUAUUUUAUGUUAUUAUUUCUAUUAAGAACAUUUGGGUGUGUGGACCCAAGAACCUGGGAAUGUGGUGGCAUCCGAUAUAACCUAAUUCGUUCCCGUCUGCAUAACCGCAUAGAUCGAUUCGUUGGCCUGCGGGUUUACCUGGCGAUAGGCCUGGAGUCCCGUGUAUGUGGUCUCCAGGUGUACCCCAGAGUCAGAGGCUGUCAGCAUUGGCACCUGCAUCACGGGAUCGGGCCACGCACAUACUGGCACACGCACAUAACAGCGGCUGUGCGUUUUCUUAUUUUUCCUUUUUAAAAAUAAAUCAUUUGUGAUGCUUUUAACAAAGAUUAAAUGACUAUGAUCAGC